UACGUAGGUGGCAAGCGUUAAUCGGAAUUACUGGGCGUAAAGCGCACGCAGGCGGUCUGUCAAGUCGGAUGUGAAAUCCCCGGGCUCAACCUGGGAACUGCAUCCGAAACUGGCAGGCUAGAGUCUUGUAGAGGGGGGUAGAAUUCCAGGUGUAGCGGUGAAUGCGUAGAGAUCUGGAGGAAGACCGGUGGCGAAGGCGGCCCCCUGGACAAAGACUGACGCUCAGGUGCGAAAGCGUGGGGAGCAAACAGGAUUAGAUACCCUGGUAGUCCACGCCGUAAACGAUGUCGACUUGGAGGUUGUGCCCUUGAGGCGUGGCUUCCGGAGCUAACGCGUUAAGUCGACCGCCUGGGGAGUACGGCCGCAAGGUUAAA
rnacentral:rRNA from 1 species